UGUAUACACAUGAUUGCUAUAGAUUUUAGUGCUCCAGCGCACACAUGACCCUCAUGAGAAGAAAAAGUUUGGUGAAUGCAUGGAUGGUAUUCAUUCAUUCAUUCAUCUUCCUAACCGCUUGAUCCUCACUAGGGUCGCGGGGGGUGCUGGAGCCUAUCCCAGCUGUCUCCGGGCAGUAGGCGGGGGACACCCUGAAUCGGUUGCCAGCCAAUCGCAGGGCACACAGAAACGAACAACCAUUCGCACACACACUCACACCUAGGGACAAUUUAGAGUGUUCAAUCAGCCUGCCACGCAUGUUUUUGGAAUGUGGGAGAAAACCGGAGCACCCGGAGAAAACCCACGCAGGCCCGGGGAGAACAUGCAAACUCCACACAGGGAGGCCGGAGCUGGAAUCGAACCCGGUACCUCUGCACUGUGAAGCCGACGUGCUAACCACUGGACUACCGGGCCACCCCAAAGAUUCAUUCCCUGUUUUGUUUUGUUUUUUUUGUGGAGGCAUGACUCGUUCGACCCGAGCGCAAGUCCGCAGCACUUGAAAUGUUUUCUUUCGUUGGAUGGUCCGAAACAUUCCGCUUUUGUACCUCGGUGAGGAAGGUCUGAAGACGGCGGUCUCAUCUACUUGGUGAAAUUCGAAAUGCGGGCCAAUCACUUUUGAAUUUGUUCUUGUUUAUUCCAAGCGGUAUUUAUUUACCAGUUGCGAAAUGCUGAGUGCUAAAUAAAAAUUGUGUUGCGACACGACCAAAGAGAUACCGUGCAACAAAAUUACCAACCGAGGCGGCUCUGAGCAUCGAUUGCGACCAAAUUAGGGAAAUUUGUAUUCUUUAGAAGUGAGCAGAAGAGGCGCUAAGUGAGUCAUCAAAAAAAAAUUUUGAUAUUACAGGGAAUGGAGAAAAAAAAAUAGACCCGUGAGACCAAUGUCGGAAGGGUUCUUUCUGUCAAGUGGGCCGCACGAUGUUUCCUUCAUGGAUUCCGUCGUCAUGUCUAUCAUUUUUGAAUGAUUGCAUGCCUGUUUUGAGAUGUUUUUGCAUCCCGACUGGGUUCCAGUGUACCCCAAACAUUGACUUGAUUGAUUGUUUUUAAGUUUCUGUAUUACUUUUUAUAUUAAAAAAAAAAGAGAGA